rnacentral:rRNA from 1 species
CCCAGACUCCUACGGGAGGCAGCAGUGGGGAAUAUUGGGCAAUGGGCGCAAGCCUGACCCAGCAACGCCGCGUGAAGGAAGAAGGCUUUCGGGUUGUAAACUUCUUUUCUGAGGGACGAAGAAAGUGACGGUACCUCAGGAAUAAGCCACGGCUAACUACGUGCCAGCAGCCGCGGUAAUACGUAGGUGGCAAGCGUUAUCCGGAUUUAUUGGGUGUAAAGGGCGUGUAGGCGGGAAUGCAAGUCAGAUGUGAAAACUAUGGGCUCAACCCAUAGCCUGCAUUUGAAACUGUAUUUCUUGAGUGCUGGAGAGGCAAUCGGAAUUCCGUGUGUAGCGGUGAAAUGCGUAGAUAUACGGAGGAACACCAGUGGCGAAGGCGGCCUGCUGGACGACAACUGACGGUGAGGCGCGAAAGCGUGGGGAGCAAACAGGAUUAGAUACCCGUGUAAA